rnacentral:rRNA from 1 species
GAUGGACGCUGGCGGCGUGCUUAACACAUGCAAGUCGAACGAAGCACUUUAUUUGAUUUCCUUCGGGACUGAUUAUUUUGUGACUGAGUGGCGGACGGGUGAGUAACGCGUGGGUAACCUGCCUUGUACAGGGGGAUAACAGUUGGAAACGGCUGCUAAUACCGCAUAAGCGCACAGCAUCGCAUGAUGCAGUGUGAAAAACUCCGGUGGUAUAAGAUGGACCCGCGUUGGAUUAGCUAGUUGGUGAGGUAACGGCCCACCAAGGCGACGAUCCAUAGCCGACCUGAGAGGGUGACCGGCCACAUUGGGACUGAGACACGGCCCAAACUCCUACGGGAGGCAGCAGUGGGGAAUAUUGCACAAUGGGCGAAAGCCUGAUGCAGCGACGCCGCGUGAGCGAAGAAGUAUUUCGGUAUGUAAAGCUCUAUCAGCAGGGAAGAUAAUGACGGUACCUGACUAAGAAGCACCGGCUAAAUACGUG